UAGGGAAUCUUCCGCAAUGGACGAAAGUCUGACGGAGCAACGCCGCGUGAGUGAAGAAGGAUUUCGGUUCGUAAAACUCUGUUGUUAGGGAAGAAAAAAUGUAUAGUAACUAUAUACAAAAGAGACGGUACCUAACCAGAAAGCCACGGCUAACUACGUGCCAGCAGCCGCGGUAAUACGUAUGGAGCAAGCGUUAUCCGGAUUCAUUGGGCGUAAAGCGCUCGUAGGCGGUCUGUUAGGUCGGCAAGUUAAAUCCGGGGGCUCAACCCCCGUCCGCUUCCGAUACCGGCAGACUUGAGUUUGGUAGGGGAAGGUGGAAUUCCUAGUGUAGCGGUGGAAUGCGCAGAUAUUAGGAAGAACUCCGGUGGCGAAGGCGGCCUUCUGGGCCAUAACUGACGCUGAGGAGCGAAAGCUAGGGGAGCGAACAGG
rnacentral:rRNA from 1 species